rnacentral:rRNA from 1 species
GAUGAACGCUGGCGGCGUGCCUAAUACAUGCAAGUCGAGCGAACAGACGAGGAGCUUGCUCCUCUGACGUUAGCGGCGGACGGGUGAGUAACACGUGGAUAACCUACCUAUAAGACUGGGAUAACUUCGGGAAACCGGAGCUAAUACCGGAUAAUAUAUUGAACCGCAUGGUUCAAUAGUGAAAGACGGUUUUGCUGUCACUUAUAGAUGGAUCCGCGCCGCAUUAGCUAGUUGGUAAGGUAACGGCUUACCAAGGCAACGAUGCGUAGCCGACCUGAGAGGGUGAUCGGCCACACUGGAACUGAGACACGGUCCAGACUCCUACGGGAGGCAGCAGUAGGGAAUCUUCCGCAAUGGGCGAAAGCCUGACGGAGCAACGCCGCGUGAGUGAUGAAGGUCUUCGGAUCGUAAAACUCCGUUAUUAGGGAAGAACAAAUGUGUAAGUAACUAUGCACGUCUUGACAGUACCUAAUCAGAAAGCCACGGCUAACUACGUG